AUUUAAAUAAUUUAAAUAAAAAUAUUGAUUUGUGGAGUCAAAUAUAUGAUAUAAAUUCAUUUUAAAUC
rnacentral:tRNA from 1 species